rnacentral:rRNA from 1 species
UUGACAUACAAGUAGUAGGGAAGGAAACUGGACCGACCCUUCGGGAGCUUGUACAGGUGCUGCAUGGCUGUCGUCAGCUCGUGUCGUGAGAUGUUCGGUUAAGUCCGCUAACGAGCGCAACCCUCGCUGUGUGUUAUAUGUGUCACACAGGACUGCUGGUAUUAAGCCGGAGGAAGUGGGACGACGUCAAGUCAGCAUGACCUUUAUAUCCAGGGCUACACACACGCUACAAUGGUCAGUACAAUGGGUUGCCAAGCCGCGAGGCGGAGCCAAUCCUAAAAAGCUGGCCUCAGUUCAGAUUGCAGUCUGAAACUCGACUGCAUGAAGUCGGAGUUGCUAGUAAACGCAGGUCAGCUAUACUGCGUUGAAUACGUUCCCGGGGCUU